UCCCGGAUCGUCUAACCGGUAGGACACAGCACUCUGGAUGCUGGGGUCGAGGUUCGAGUCCUUGUCCGGGAGC
rnacentral:tRNA from 1 species